UCUCGGAAUGUGGUGAUAUGGGGAAACACAUGCAAGGAUUCCAUCCUAAUAACAUCCCUCUGGGCUUUCACAUUAUUUCCUAGAAGUGACUUCGAUUUCUCCUGUCUUGUCCAAGGCUCCAGGACCUCUAACAAUGGAACUCGGUAAGUUUCCAGGUUCUAACUCCAACACCUUUUCACAAUCCUGAAAAGCACUGUUCCAGUUCUGUAGCUUGAGUUCUGCUUGAGCGCGAUUGUUAUAGGCCACUACAUUGGGAAGCACUGAUAUACUCCUACAAGAGAGACACUUAUUGGCAACAAGUUGACCAGAGGAAAACAUAUGAAGAUAGAGAAACUCAGAGAUGAUGAAGUCAAAAUGAGGUCAUGAUGGUGUACCUUUGUCCAAUAUGACUGGUGUCCUUAUAAGAAGAGAUUAGAACACAGACACAUGCUGAGGAAAGACCACUUGAAGACACAGAGAGAAGACAGUCACCUACAAGCCAGAACAGGGGCCCAGAAGACGCCAGCCCUCCUGACACUUUGAUCAGAUUUGUAGCCUCCAGGAUGGUGAGAAAAUACAUUUCUGUUUGAGCCCCUCA